rnacentral:rRNA from 1 species
UAAGACGAACCGUGCGAACGUUGUUCGGAAUCACUGGGCUUAAAGGGCGCGUAGGCGGGCGGGCAAGUCUGCGGUGAAAGCCUCCAGCUCAACUGGAGAAGUGCCGUGGAUACUGCCCAUCUUGAGGAGGGUAGGGGCGUCUGGAACGUUGGGUGGAGCGGUGAAAUGCGUUGAUAUCCAACGGAACUCCGGUGGCGAAGGCGAGGCGCUGGACCCUUUCUGACGCUGAGGCGCGAAAGCCAGGGGAGCGAACGGGAUUAGAUACCCCGGUAGUCCUGGCCCUAAACGAUGAGGACUAGGUAGUGGACUUAACAUGGGUUCACUGUCGAAGCAAAAGUGCUAAGUCCUCCGCCUGGGGAGUAUGGUCGCAAGGCUG